UACAGCAUCAAGUAUUUACCUCAGAAAAUUGAAUCACACCACUCAGUCCUUUCUUAUAAUUCAGUAAGAAUGUAGCAGCUACACUGUGUGUGUACAUAUCAUAGUUAGCAAUGAAAUCAAAGCUGAGACACACACUCCCAACCAGUACGUCACUAUGGAGAACCCUGAUUUACAUUGUUAGAAGUAGCUUCAGAGUUUGGGACAUUAUGUAAUUUAUUCAAAGUUGGUUGUAAAUGUCAAAUAAUUAUCUCCCUGAUGUCAUUGAUAAAUACACUGCAUAAAAUCUCCAAUAUCUCCAAGGAAACAUAUAAAAUAAUUAUUCAACAAAGGUUGAAUAUAAAGAUGACUUUAAACUUAUUUCAGAUAUAGUUAGCAUGAAUGCAGUAAGAUAUACAUUCUUUAAGAAAUCUUAGGUGUUCAGAUAAAAAGAUGUUUGAUGAGUUUUAUUUUUCAUAGAUGAAGUGGGAAACAUUUUUUCAGUGAACUGUUAAAGUUAAGAAAUCUUAGGUGUUCAGAUAAAAAGAUGUUUGAUGAGUUUUAUUUUUCAUAGACAAAGUGGGAAACAUUUUUUCAGUGAACUGUUAAAGAAAAUGGAAAUUUCUGAAAGUUGUUUUUAAUAGUUGUAUUUUAAAAACUCUUACAAAUAUCUUGAAAAACAAUCUUUUAGUUGCAUUAAAAGACAAUCGUCUUUGUAUCCC